UUUUUACCUGCAAGGAAGGUAGACUGCAUUAAUAGUUUAUACAUAUAUACAAGUAGAAGAUACAACUAAAACACAAAUAGUGCUACAAUAAUCACAUCAACAACAAACACAACGGUAUCAUAACAUAUUUAAUUUGUAAAUUACAAAGUCACUAGGUAUUUAAAAUAAAACAGUUGUGCUAAUGCAAACAGUUUGAAGGCAAAAUGUAUAAGCAUUGAAAAGUUUGACAAAUUAUGACAAAUCAGGCUUAGGAUUUGUUUUAUACACGUAUGGAGUGAUUGAGUACAAGGAGAAAAUUAUCAAGCAUGAAAUCGAACUAUGAUUGUUGCAAAAUAAUUUUUGACAAAACAUAAUCAAUAUUAAAUAUUAUAGAAUAUAUAAACAUGUUCACAUAAAAUCAAUAGAAAUAGUUAAUAAUGGAAUAAAGGAAUAAGUGGAAAAAAAUGAAAUAACUAUGAAACACUGUUCCAGGUUAGGGGAGGGUUGAGGGCUCACAAAUAUUUUUAACCCCGCCACAUUCUGUAUGUGCCUGUCCCAAGUCAGGAGCCUGUAGUUCAGUGGUUGUCGUUGGUUCAAGUCUGUCAUAUUUGUUUUUCAUAAAUUGUUUUGUCAUAAAUUAGGCCGUUAGUUUUCUCAAUUGAAUUGUUUCAUAUUUGUCAUGUUGAGGGCCUUUUAUAGCCGACUUUACGGUAUGGGUUUUUUCUCACUGUUGAAGCCCGUACAGUUGCCUAUAAUUGCUUACCUCCACUUUAUUUGAACUUUGGUGGAUAUAUAUAGUUGUUUAAUUGUGCAAUCAUAUCAUAUCUCCUUAUUUUUAUAUACAAAUUUUGAUAUUGGCGAUGAAAGGAAAAGGGGGUUAAAUUUUGUAAAACUGACAAUUAAUAUUGAAAUUUAAAUUUUACACACUCAACUCCUUCAAAUUAAACAGAUGUACAACAUAAAAAAAAUCAUAAAAGAUUCCAGGCUUAUCAUUUUGAGCGUCAUUGUAUUUUUCGUUUACACAAAAGUAAAAUAUCAGAAAUACAAGGAAAAUUCAAAACGAAAAAUUCCCUAUUCAAAUGGCAAAAUCAAAAUCUCAAACAC
rnacentral:lncRNA from 1 species